AGUUUAUCCAGGAAAGCUAUCGGACUGACAUUUAGUACCGAGCUGCCCUGGGAUAGACUCU
rfam:Caenorhabditis brenneri strain PB2801 C_brenneri-6.0.1_Cont36.43, whole genome shotgun sequence.